rnacentral:misc_RNA from 1 species
GGUUACAGUACCAAAUGAACCACUGCUGCAACUUACCUACAAGCCAGAAGAUUCUCUUUCCGAGGAUCAAAACUUACCCACUGAUCAGCCGGAGGCUUCUCCUUCAGAUGAUCUUUCUAUUACUCCUGUUGAAACGGCUCCACCACCACCUCCAGCACCAGCUCCUGCUCCUGAAAGCCAUGCAGAGACUGGAGAUUUAUUGGGAUUGAGUCUUGCUACCACUGAAGUAUCUGAAAUUGAGGAGAGAAAUGCUUUGGCUUUAGCUAUAGUUCCUUCUGGUGAUACAGCAACACCCACUUUUCAUUCCAAUGGUGCACAUACAAAUGAUUUCGAUCCUACUGGUUGGGAGCUUGCCUUGGUC